GCCCCCAUCGUCUAGCGGCCUAGGACGUCGCCCUUUCACGGCGAAAAUCAGGGGUUCGAAUCCCCUUGGGGGUACCA
rnacentral:tRNA from 1 species